AGUCACCCCAACAGUUCAUUCAGCUUAAAGGUGGAGAGUGAAGCAGGAAUUGCAGAGGGCCGCUCUGUGCUGGGUCCACGCUGGGUCUUCGCCAAGUCCUUGCCAACUCCUUGCCAAGUUCUUGCCGGGCCUCAUUCGGAACGUAACGGUACAGCGGCUGCACCUGCACUGUUGCCUUCUCCAAGCCGGAACUGCAGUGGGGGGAAGGGAGUUCCUUCUCGUGGCAAUCGGCAGGCAAAUGAGUGAGGGUCUUCAGACAGCCUCUUACAAGAGGUGACAGCUGGAACUUACCAGACAGGCAGACGGCCUUUUUCUGCAGCCAACAGGGAUUUGCAUCCCCAGAUGAAUGCAAGAUAAGUGGAGGGUUAUGACCCACAGAGAGGAUGGAGGUGGGGUGCCAGGUUGGGACUUUCUAGAAGAGGUUUUUGUCUGUUUUAGAGAUGGGGAUGUCCAAGAAGCGUCCCCUUAGGUCACCUAAAGGGAAAGUGUCUGUUUUGAUCUCUGUGCUGAGGUGCACAGGGCAGAGCAGUUCCGGUGUGUGUCCUGUCACUUGUCUCUGGUGCACCCUGUGUUCUUUGGGUCUCUCGGUCCUUUCUUCUCAUCUAAAGCUCUCUCUCCCUCUCCUGUCCCCUCGUCUGUCACGUCCUGUCCCGUGUCACGGGUGUCUGCGCAUAUUCAUCCCGGAGCUGCUCUGCCCUGCUGCAUAGCCUGUAACAGCACAAGUCCUGUGGACUUGAAAUUUGUAAUGCAGGGUGUAGUUGGGCUCUAGACUGGAUUAAGAGAUUGCCAUAACAUGUUUGGUACUGUUAAGUUUUUCUGCAGCUGUUUGACACUAGUCCUAACUUCCUUUCAGAUGCAGACAGUUCAAAUCUGUGGCAGUGGGCUCCAGUCCUGGCUGAGGAACUUCCAAUGAGCAGGAGGUCCAGGCAGAUAGCAGCUGUCAAGGCCAAGUCUGCCAGGGAAUCCACUGGGAGUAUGCCAAGCCCUUGUCACCAGCUGGCUGAUGGACCGGGUUUCCUGCACUUAUGAGCCCUCUGGAAGUAUUACAGGACCCUGUGAUGAAGCCUACCGGUUUUGUAUUUCAAGGUCUUCUCCUGGUAGCCCAGAGGACUGGCCGAGGAGUUGCAGUGAGUCGGUGAGGUAGGGAGGAGUGAGAGUCCACUCGAGUUUCAGCAAUGCCAUGUAACGUUGUCUCCACUUAACCUAGCUGUACCCUGCAAUGACGGCGUCAGAAUCCAAGCAGACCUGAAGCGUCCAGGCCACGUACAUGUCCAUUUUGAUGAGAAUGACCAAGAGGUGACAGCUGGAACUUACCAGACAGGCAGACGGCCUUUUUCUGCAGCCAACAGGGAUUUGCAUCCCCAGAUGAAUGCAAGAUAAGUGGAGGGUUAUGACCCACAGAGAGGAUGGAGGUGGGGUGCCAGGUUGGGACUUUCUAGAUGAGGUUUUUGUGUCUGUUUUAGAGAUGGGGAUGUCCAAGAAGCAUCGCCUUAGGUCACCUAAAGCGCAAGUGUCUGUUUUGAUCUCUGUGCUGAGGUGCACAGGGCAGAGCAGUUCCGGUGUGUGUCCUGUCACUUGUCUCUGGUGCACUCUGUGUUCUUUGGGUCUCUCGGUCCUUUCUUCUCAUCUAAAGCUCUCUCUCCCUCUCCUGUCCCCUCGUCUGUCACGUCCUGUCCUGUGUCACGGGUGUCUGCACAUAUUCAUCCCGGAGCUGCUCUGCCCUGCUGCAUUGCCUGUAAUAGCACAAGUCCUGUGGACUUGAAAUUUGUAAUGCAGGGUGUAGUUGGUCUCUAGACUGGAUUAAGAGAUUGCCAUAACAUGUUUGGUACUGUUAAGUUUUCCUGCGGUCUUUUGACACUAGUUCUAACUUCCUUUCAGAUGCAGACAGUUCAAAUCUGUGGCAGAGGGCUCCAGUCUUGGAUGAAGAACUUCCCAUGAGCAGGUCAUUGUUUUCAUUUGCAGGGGAAGCCUUAAUGGUGACUGUGUUAGAGUGGUGUUCUUUGCCUUUAUUUUUAGGAACUCCAGGCAGAUAGCAGCAGUCAAGGCCCAUUGUGCCAGGGAAUCCACUGCGAGUAUGCCAAGCCCCUGUCACCAGCUGGCCGAUGGACCGGGUUUCCUGCACUUAUGAGCCCUCUGGAAGUAUUACAGGACCCUGUGAUGAAGCCUACCGGUUUUGUAUUUCAAGGUCUUCUCCUGGUAGCCCAGAGGAAUGGCUGAGGAGUUGUGGUGUACCCUGUGUUGAAGGUGUCGGCCUCCAAGCACGCCUGAGGUGCGUGGCCCGAGCAUUCUUAGGAAACGACCAAGAGAGAAGAGCCUGGUGACAACUGGAAUUUCCCAGACCAGCAGGAGGCCUCCUUCUGCACCUGAUGAGGAUUUGCAUCCCCAGAUAUGUGCAAG